CGGGACACGAAGACAGGUGUUGCAUGGUUGUCGUCAGCUCGUGUCGUGAGAUGUUGGGUUAAGUCCCGCAACGAGCGCAACCCUCAUAUACAGUUGCCAAUAUUUAGUUAGGAACCCUGUAUAGACUGCCGUGGUUAACACGGAGGAAGGUGGGGAUGACGUCAAAUCAUCACGGCCCUUACGUCCUGGGCUACACACGUGCUACAAUGGCUAUUACAAAGAGUAGCGAUACAGUAAUGUGGAGCGAAUCUCAAAAAGAUAGUCUCAGUUCGGAUUGUGGGCUGCAACUCGCCCACAUGAAGUCGGAGUUGCUAGUAAUCCCGAAUCAGCAUGUCGGGGUGAAUGCGUUCCCGGGUCUUGUACACACCGCCCGUCACGCCAUGGGAGUUGGGAGUGCCCAAAGUCACUGACUUAACCGCAAGGGGAGAGGUGCCUAAGGUAAUACCAAUGACUGGGGUGAAGUCGUAACAAGGUAGCCGUAUCGGAAGGUGCGGUUGGAUCAC
rnacentral:rRNA from 1 species